GUUUUCAAAUUUAUAAAAUCUCUGCUUUAAACUCUUAUCUCAGUCAUAUUUCAAAAAAAACAAUUUAAAUAUUUAAUACAUUUUCCAAAAGACUUUCUAGACUCAAAAUAACUGCAAAAUAUAUCACGACUCAACACACUUUACAAAAGGACCCUCGAUCAAAGAGGUCCACUAAAACAAAUGAUUGAGACUUGAAUCUACUAAUAACUUGCUACUCAGCUGCUUGUAAAUCUGAAGAAGAAACAACAUGAAGCAGUAAGUCACAAAGACUUAGUGAGAAGAAACAACGACCACCAACUAGAAGGAAACACAAAAAGACACGAAUAAUUAUUUUAUAAUGUUGUGACAAUUAUGCUAAACAAUACUACAUGAAAUAUAAAUACUUCUCAAAUAAAGUAUACACAUGAUAAAAUCAUUAAACUUAUAAUUUAACCGUUUAGGUAGAAAUAUUGAAAAUCUUAUUCAUAAAUAAGUGAAAUUAAAAUGAGCAACCUUAAGAUCAUAUAAAAUCAAACAAGUAAAAACAUAAAUUUUUUAGGAUCAAAAGGUGAUUUCAUCUCAUUGAUAAUCCUCUCCUCCUAAAGGUGAUCUUUCUUUUAGGGGUGACUUCAUCUAACGGAUAGUCAUCUCCUCUCAAUCCCGCAAUGUACCAUAACACAUCAAUUAGGAAGCUUAUAUCAUGUUGAUAGCUCUAUCCUCCUAAGGAUGAUAUCUCUCAUAAAGGCGGUUCAAUCUAACGGGUAAUUCUCCCUAAUCAAAACAAUGUAAUUAGGUGCACCUACCUCAGUCAACGAUUUCAUAAUUAUAACAACGAUUUCCUAAACACAUAUUUAAAGAUCAUUUCUAAUUUCAUCGUAACUCAUGGAAAACAUAUUCAAUUGUGCAUCAAUUCAAUAUUUAAAUACUUUAUAACUCAUAAAUAAGUCAAACUAUAAACAUAUUAUAUAACAAAGACUAUGAACAUAAAUAAAGGAUGAAAUUGAAAAAAAAUCAAAGGUUGUGUUCCCCAAUUUUUAAAUAAAUACUUUAACAUAGAAAACAAGUAAAAUAAUAAUUAUAAUAUAAUAAAGGCUAAAUUACAUUUGUGGUCUCUUAACUUAAUUUUAGGUAACAUUUUAGUUUUUUAUCUUUUUUUUAUGAGUUGGUUCUUUAUUUUAAUUUUAAGUGAUAAUUUUAUAUUUUAUGUUUUAAAAUUUCAACAAUGUUAUCUUUUUUUAUACAAAAAUUCAAAAAAAUCAUCAAAAUUUUCAACCAAAAUCCAUAAAAUUAAUAAUUAUCUUCAAUAUAAUGCAAAUUUUAUAAAAUCCAUAACUCAAAUAUUCAAAUACACUCAUAUUUUCAUCUCCAACAACAUCAAAUAAAGAAUUAAAAUAUGAGUUUAUUUCAGGAUUUAAGUUAUGAAUUUGAUUAAAUUUGUAUUUUAUUGAAGAUAAUAAUGAAUUUUAUGAGUUUUGUUUGAAAAAUUUGAUGAUUUUUUUUUGAAUUUUUGUAAAAAAAAAGGACAACAUUGUUGACAUUUUAAAACAUAAAAUAUCAAAUUGUCACUUAAAAUUAAAAUAAAGGACCAACUCGGGAAAAAAAUAUAUAAAGGACUAAAACGUUACUUGAAAUUAAGUUAAGGGACCACAGAUGUAAUUUAGCCUAUAAUAAAAAUAUAGAUAAUCGACUAACUCCUAGAGUAGUAGACAAGACCUCAGCUAACAAAUAUGAGUAUACAAAAUAUUCUCAGGACUUUAAAAAAAUAUUCUAAAGUUUAGCUAACUCUAAGAAACCAUAAGAAUCAUUUAAAUCUACUCUAAGCACCAAAAUAAGAUUUUUAAACAAAACUUCAUUUUUCUAUAGAUUCAUUCUUAGCAUUAAUUAAAGUUGUGUAUUUACCUCAAAGAAUCUCAAUAAAACACUUUUCAAAGGAUGAGUACUCUUCUCCUUUCUUAACUCACUAACAUUAACUCCAAAAUCUUAACCAAGAACAUUUGUAAGAGUAUGAAAAAUUAUGCUUUUGGAGAUGUUAAAUUCAUUUUUAAGAGUUGAUGGUUUAUGUGUGCAAAUUUAUGUUGUGAGGUGAGAAGAAGCAAGUUGAAAAAGAAAAGGAAAAAAAAAAUGGAGGAAGGUUGAUGUUGUUGCCAAGAGAGAAGAAGAAGA
rnacentral:lncRNA from 1 species